rnacentral:tRNA from 1 species
UAUAUUUUAGUAUAGGAUGUACAAAAGUUUUUGAAACUUUUAGAAAUAGUUUAAUUCUAUUAAAUAUAA